AGUUUGUAAAGGACAUUCUUUUCUGAAAAUUUCAGGUGGUUGAAGCAGCACUGCAUUCACGGAUACAAAGAUUGGAACAUAGGCUGUGGGAUUUAGAACCACGUGUCCAAGCACUACUUGAGGUUUUGCCUAACCGAUUAACUGCAGACAUAUUGGAGGAACUUCGUAUCAGUAAACAGAAACUGGUGGAAUUGGGUUCCAGGGCAGGGGCUCUUAAGCAAAUGCUACUUGAUAUUCUAGAGGAUACUCAUGAAAUACGGCAAAUCUGCAUAAUCGGGAGAAAUUGUGUACUUAAGAAAGAAAACGAUGAGAUAGAGUGCUCCGUAGCCCUGGAUAAGGAGAUUGCUGAAGAAGAAGAGGAGGAAAUUGAAAUGCUUUUGGAAAA